UCUAUCUUCUCUUUUUCUGUGGCUCUGUUCGUCUGCCGGCUCCCUUCUAUUCUGCCUUCUUGAUUCCUUGUGAUUCUUUUCCAUUUUCCGCCGCCAAUCGUGAUGCACCAACACCUGCCACACACACGCAUAUACAUGUAUACGUACACCCCAUGUCAGCUGCCCUGCCAGAACCCACUCAAGAGGCAAUGGCCCCGGCGUCUGCGCUCCUGUUUCGCGCUUAGUUGUGCCAACGAAAAAAAAAAGAAGCCCGCGCCUCCACAGCCCCGGCUUGAAAUCACCUGUUCUUUGUGACGUCUCUCCUUUCUCGUGGCAUGAAAGCACGUGCCAUGUGCGUGUGCCCGUCUGUAGGCACUUUACUGAGCAAAGGAGUCGCGGAGUCAAAGGAUGAUGGGUAGCGGAAAGGUGGUGAAACGGCUUGCCGUUCCGCGGAGACGCUUCCGAAAUGUCGUGAAGAAGGGGUCUCGGAGGUUGGGUCGUUCGGCGGCUGUUCCCCGGAGCCCCCUCCAUUUCUCCCCGCGCUCUCUCGCAGGGAUGCGGUCGUGUGUACUGGUGCCUCGUACACUCCCCUUGUUUUAGUCUGCUAUCCUCGUUCGCAUGUGCUCCUCUCUAACACCCUUUUCUUCUGCUUGCAUGGGCACCCCCGCCCCUCUAAUAACAUGGAGGUGAGGCACAUCGAAGUGGCGUACCCUGAAGACGUGGUGGUGGUGGAGGGCUACCCCUGAGGGCUCGUCUAUUUUUUUUUCUCCUUCCCACUCGGCCCUUUGUUGCGUGCCGCAGAAUGCGGUGACAAGUCCCUGCUGAACUACUGUUUUCAGCUGUGUCUUUUUGUUUUUUUUUUGCUUUUCGUGGCGGUGGUAUGUGUCUAUCCUGUCCGCUGCCUUCCGCAUCACCUGAUGGAUGCUGCGCCGCCUCCCCGUCUGCGGUGGUACGCUGUCUGCUGUUGUGCCGAGUGUUUCGUUUUUGCUUAGUCGCCUGUGACUCGCUCUUGCCACCCUUUUUCUUUGUGCUCCCCUUGAAUCUUCAGCAGUGAGGCAGUGGGCGAUGAUUCCGUGAUUUCCCUCGCAUCAUAUUUUCUCGGGCUCGAACGUAGCGGUCGAACCUAGUCGCAAACGCACCGGCUUUUUGACCGAGUGUGUGUGUGUGUUUGUGUGUGCCCGCAAACAAUGAUCAGACGCUGCCCAGUGUGCGGCACGGCUGGCACCUCUCUCACGAGGCCGCGUAAUGUUGGGAAUCCUGUGAAUAUUCUUUGUGUGUAUGCUACUAGCAUAUCCCCCAGCUUCGUGUGCAGUGACGUGCCGGAGACUCUGCGGGAAAGGAUGUGUAUUUUUAUUCUUCCCCAUUGCGUGCCACUGAGUUCAGUCUCUCCCACCAACCAAAAUGGUCCGUGCUUCGCCACGUAAAGCUCUGUAGCAAAAUGCGGCUGUCGCUUCAAGGAGCGCCAAAGACGUAUGCGCGGGCACCGCCGACAAAAAUCCCGGGUGAGAACCCCUCCCUCUCUUCUCCCCUCCCCCUCGCUGGGCUGAACAACCGACGCCCGUGUACUUGCUCUGUAUACUGAGCCGUGAGUGUGGCCAACUCUUUCCUUGAUCCUCCUCUUGUGUUCAG
rnacentral:misc_RNA from 1 species